GCAUAGAUAUUAACUAGAAGUAGAAGACAACUAGAUAAGUUAGUUUUGUUUACAAAUUUUACAUUGUAUGCAUGAAUGUAUACAUAGUAUUUGUAAAUAUUGAGUUAAUUCAUCUAUUUAUACAAAGACUGUCUAAUAAAAAUCUUGUAACAGGAAAUGUGAGUUUCAGAAACUGUGUGUCUCAGACAAAAAUUAUUCUAAAAUUAAAUACCUCACCUACAAACAACAAAUUACAAAAUAUAUAAUUUGGGUAUAUUGGACAGGUUUCCUCUGUUAGUAUAGACUACAUGUGUAGGAUAUUAGCACACUGACUAAAUGGAAAUUCAAUAUUUAAUAUUCUAUAAAAUCUGUUUUGUUUACACAAGUCUCACAAACUAUGCAAUAUUCCUGACUGGAAAGUUUGCAAAGGGUGCAGCUAAUUUUUGUUUUAUUAAUAGGUAAAAUAGUAUUAUGCCGCAAACUACAAACUUUCCAGACUGCGGCCAAUAUGAGACUCCUAUAGUCGAACCUCCAUUAAGGCUUAAGCAGCCCUCCUUUACGAAGCAUGCUUAAUAUUUUGCUUUAUACACAUAUUAAUCACACAGUAAAUAUAAUGUUCAACACAUGUCGACACCAACAGGUCAAUGUAAGUUUUUGUAUCAGUGUUCGUUAACACUUUCACACAUCUUUUCAGUCUACCUAUUACUGUAAUCAGUGAUUUAUGAUUGAAUAAAUAGACAUUGGACCCCCCCCCCCAAGUCUACUUUAUGGCCAUUUUGUUAAUGUUUAACUAAUUAAGGGCCAGCACUCUCCCCUUGACAAGUGAAAUCAUCUGGCGUUAGACAGAGUGAAACGUUGGGCACAUCAGGCCGCAAUGCGACUCAAUGGGUUAAUGUAAAAUAGUAUUAUUAUACAACAACAACAGGGAGUUGCACAUUUGCAUGAUAACAUUUGUUGCAGGUUAAAGUCAUUACCAUGUGAGUAUAGUUACAAAGAUUUAUACAACAAAUUAGGCUUUUUAAAUAAUUAUGUCAUGUAUGCCGGUUUAGCCUGGGCACCUUGCUUUCAUGUAUCAGGAGACAAAAUGUGAUUGGAUCACUAUUCAUGGGAAUUUGUUGUUUGUAGGUGAGAUAUUUAAUAAAUAUUCUAGAAUAAUUUUGUCUGAGACACUCAGACACACAUUUUCUGAAACUCACAUUUCCUGUUACAAGAUUUUUAUAAGAGAGUCUUUGUAAUAGAUAAUUAACAUACAUUCAUGCAUACAAUGUAAAAUUUGUAAACAAAACUAACUUAUCUAGUUGUCUAUUAAUAUAUGAAUUUACUUAUCUAGCUUUCUAGUUAAUAUCUAUGCAAAGAAAACUAUAAAUUAUGCACAUAAUUUGUCAAUGAAUAUCAGACAUCGUCAAAAAUGCAAGAAAACGCAUCGUACAUUGUAGAAAAUGAGUUCAAAUACCUCAGCAAAGUGGCAUUUUCAUUUCGCCUAUAGUUUUUCACUCCUACGACGAUCGAAAGAGAAAAAUUCGUAAAAUAUUGCAAACUAAGUGUGAUGAACUCAC